GCGGGAUUAACUCAGCGGUAGAGUGUCAGCUUCCCAAGCUGAAGGUCGCCGGUUCGAACCCGGUAUCCCGCUCCG
rnacentral:tRNA from 1 species